AAAUGCAAUGAAUGCAUUUGAAGACAGAAUCGCAGAGGGCAUCCCACCUGCUGAACUUGAUGUUCAACCUGAAAUUGGGCGAGAGAUAGACAUGCAGUGGGUUUUGGAUCCCUCAGCAGUCCCAUCUAAUACUGUUGAAGAAAAUUAUACACCUGACUUGCUGUUCCCAUCU